AUUGAACGCUGGCGGCAUGCCUUACACAUGCAAGUCGAACGGCAGCGCGGGGCAACCUGGCGGCGAGUGGCGAACGGGUGAGUAAUAUAUCGGAACGUGCCCUGGAGUGGGGAUAACGUAGCGAAGUUACGCUAAUACCGCAUACGAUCCAAGGAUGAAAGCAGGGGACCUUCGGGCCUUGUGCUCCUGGAGCGGCCGAUAUCUGAUUAGCUAGUUGGUGGGGUAAAAGCCUACCAAGGCGACGAUCAGUAGCUGGUCUGAGAGGACGACCAGCCACACUGGAACUGAGACACGGUCCAGACUCCUACGGGAGGCAGCAGUGGGGAAUUUUGGACAAAUGGGGGGCGAACCCUAGAUCCAGCAAUGCCGCGUGUGUGAAGAAGGCCUUCGGUUGUAAGACACUUUGUUCAGGACGAAACGGUUAGAGGUUAAGU
rnacentral:rRNA from 1 species